rnacentral:rRNA from 1 species
GAGUUUGAUCUUGGCUCAGGACGAACGCUGGCGGCGUGCUUAACACAUGCAAGUCGAGCGGUAAGGCUCCAGCUUGCUGGGGUACACGAGUGGCGAACGGGUGAGUAACACGUGGGUGACCUGCCCUGCACUUCGGGAUAAGCCUGGGAAACUGGGUCUAAUACCGGAUAGGACCGCACCGUGAGGGUGUGGUGGAAAGUUUUUUCGGUGUGGGAUGGGCCCGCGGCCUAUCAGCUUGUUGGUGGGGUAAUGGCCUACCAAGGCGGCGACGGGCAGCCGGCCUGAGAGGGUGGACGGCCACAUUGGGACUGAGACACGGCCCAGACUCCUACGGGAGGCAGCAGUGGGGAAUAUUACACAAUGGGCGGAAGCCUGAUGCAGCGACGCCGCGUGGGGGAGUGACGGCC